GAUGAACGCUGGCGGCGUGCCUAACACAUGCAAGUCGAACGGGGUAGCAAUACCUAGUGGCGGACGGGUGAGUAACGCGUGAGAAUCUGCCUUCAGGACGGGGACAACAGUUGGAAACGACUGCUAAAACCCGAUGUGCCUUUAGGGGUGAAAUAUUAAUAGCCUGAAGAGGAGCUCGCGUCAGAUUAGCUAGUUGGUGGGGUAAAAGCCUACCAAGGCGACGAUCUGUAGCUGGUCUGAGAGGAUGAGCAGCCACACUGGGACUGAGACACGGCCCAGACUCCUACGGGAGGCAGCAGUGGGGAAUUUUCCGCAAUGGGCGAAAGCCUGACGGAGCAAUCUCGCGUGAGGGAUGACGGCCUAUGGGUUGUAAACCCUCUUUUUUCAGGGAGGAAUAAAUGACGUGUACCUGAAGAAUAAGCAUCGGCUAACUCCGUGCCAGCAGCCGCGGUAAU
rnacentral:rRNA from 1 species